rnacentral:rRNA from 1 species
UGGGGAAUAUUGCACAAUUGGCGCAAGCCUGAUGCAGCCAUGCCGCGUGUAUGAAGAAGGCCUUCGGGUUGUAAAGUACUUUCAGUCGGGAGGAAGGUGUCAAGGUUAAUAACCUUGGCAAUUGACGUUACCGACAGAAGAAGCACCGGCUAACUCCGUGCCAGCAGCCGCGGUAAUACGGAGGGUGCAAGCGUUAAUCGGAAUUACUGGGCGUAAAGCGCACGCAGGCGGUUGAUUGAGUCAGAUGUGAAAUCCCCGGGCUUAACCCGGGAAUUGCAUCUGAUACUGGUCAGCUAGAGUCUUGUAGAGGGGGGUAGAAUUCCAUGUGUAGCGGUGAAAUGCGUAGAGAUGUGGAGGAAUACCGGUGGCGAAGGCGGCCCCCUGGACAAAGACUGACGCUCAGGUGCGAAAGCGUGGGGAGCAAACAGG